rnacentral:lncRNA from 1 species
CUCCACUAGAGUGAAAAUUAUACAGUAUGCAAAUUAUGUUUUCAAAGUCAGAGUUUUAUUCGUCGUCCAUCAUCAAUUCAUCGUCCUCUUGUUCUGAGCCACUGUCGUCGAUUUCGUCUUCAGGUAGAUCUUGUUCUUGGUUGUUUGUGCAACCUUGGCAUUGACACAUCGUUGUGCAUGGCAAGUUGUCUUUCAUGCAUCCACAUGCAGCGCUGCUUCGUCUUCUUGU